rnacentral:lncRNA from 1 species
AGGGUGUGCUAAAAAUGAAUCCCAGGGACUACAAAGAUUCCUAUAUCAGUGCACCAAUAAUCCUUGGUCGAUCAGAUGGACAUUUAUACUGGAGACACAAGUGAUGAAAGUUUCCUUUCUGAAUGAUUUUGGUUUCUUCAUUGGUCCAUGUGAAAAAAGUUUUAAAGAAGCAGCAAGUUUGAAUGAACCACAGCAGCCACUAGAUAUCAAAAACCUUGCUGGAAAGAAGCUUCAACUUUCAGCCCUUUCUGAAUUAAUUAAAAUUAUUGAAAGACAAGUGAAUGCUUGCUUUAUUGUUUUUUGUGAGAGCUUUAAAUAAGUUUAGUAUUUAAAAAGAAAGUGACUGUUUGUUUUUUGUUUCUCCACUUUUAUGCAUCAUUAAUACAUGUAAAAGAAGCUUUUUUUUGAACAGGUGUAUAUUGUUAAUGACCAAAAGGGAAAAAAUUAGCAUAAGAUGGACAAACAGUUUCGACUUCAGUUUUUCUUCAUUGCAGAUGUGUGUUGCUGUGAUGUUUUCAUUUCAUUUGAGUUCGUAAUACUGCUUUUUUUGUAUGUGUCUAGAUCUAAAAUCUACCUCAUUUUUUUGCAUAAUUAUUGUAACAUAGGUCUAAAACCUGCAUUUUCUGAUUGAGAAAUGUUUAGUCUUCAGUAGCUACCUAUACUUAUGCUCCACAGUCUACAUUGUUUGGCUUGAACUGGGGCUUAAAUAUUCCUCUUCGUAUAUAGUUGUACUUUUAAAUAGCCAACACGUAAAAAAUGCUUUUAAAAAAUCUAAAAAAUGAUUACCUGAUAAUACACCUUACAUCUGUUUAUAACACUUCAGAUUUGUUGUUGUUCCCUUAAUUACAAUUCUAUUCUGUUUCAUGUUUACUUGUUUUAAAACUUUUUAUUUCUGUCUAAACUCCAUAUUUUAUUGGCUGUUUGUUAAAGUGUUCAGAGCAGUUUCAUUUUUAUAAGAUGUUAAGCAUUUACAUAAUCUCUGAAAGGAGCUUGUAAAAUCCUUCAAAGCAUUGAAAUGAUAAAAAAAAAAAGAUUCAAAUUGGAUGUGCCAUACCACUAGUUAAAAUUACAGAAAGUUUCUGUGACUGAUGGGGGCCAAGAUUGUUUCUGUUAGGAAACUGCUACGUUAGUGCAAACAUUUGUUUUUCUCCUAUGAUAUUUUAGCUAUUGUUUUAAGCUCAAAGGAAGGUUAGUUUUCCUUACAUUCCAACUUUCACUCUGAUUUUUUUUCUUUGUUUUUAUCAUUGUUAUUAUUACCUCGCAUGUAGCUAGACUCUUUGGUAAUAUUAAUAGGAAUUGGAGAUUUAAUCUUGUGAUUUAGGGUUAAAAAUUAAACUGUGGUAAAAUAUGAAUCAUUGAAAUUUCGUUCAUUGAUGAAUAGCAACUAAUUAUUAUGAAUAAAAAAUGCAUGGUGAUUAUUAUUAUUAUUAUUUUUUUUUUAAAUUAAGAUCCGCAUUGUGUUAGUGUUUUCACAAAACUGAAAAAAAUAUAUAUUGCAUGUUGGUCCAACACAGGUUUUCAGUAGACUCUGUAUUAGAGUGAAAUUCAAAUUAAGGAUGCUGGUUUAUCAGUUUCACUUAACUUUGUUAAAAGAUAAACUUUUAUUUAGCCAAAAAAUGUUAAACUUCUCUACUUGGUCCAAAGACUAAAGUAAGAUAAGCCUACAUGCCUCCUAGGAUUGCAGUUCUGUUGGCUUUUUUUUUUAUUUUCAUGUUUUUUGCAUAUUCUCUUAGAAUAGUUAUUUAAUCAAGAUGUAUCUAGUCAAAAUGUUCUGCACAAUUUGAAUUUGCUCUGAAAGUAUAUUUGUAUAUAAUUGUAUGUAUGUAAACUAAUGAAUUAGUGAAGACUGUGGGCAACAACUACUUUUUUAUCACUCCUAUUACAUAACUGUUAGAUUUGUAUACAGUGAGUGGAAGAGGCCAAAAGUUUAAUUGUGAUCAUUGAUUGUUCUCCUCAGAGCGGGAAAAAUAUUACAAUAUAAUUAUUAUUUUUUAAAUUAUAAAUUUUAAGUUGGAAAAGAACUGAUGGUGUGAAGGGUUAUAAGAAUAGUUUAUUGGUGUUAUUAAUUCUCAGUUUCUUAAGUUUUUAAGUAGGCUUCUAGUAAACAAGAAUUUUUUGAAAUGAUGGCACAUUCCUGCUUUGUCUCCAUCUUAAUUACUUCUUCAGAUUUAAGUUAUACAUAGAAUUGAACCUCAUUGUUAAGCUUUUCUUGUAGCUUAAGUUUUAGUAUCUCUCUUUUUUUUCCUUAUCGGAAAUGUUAGCAAAUAAUU